GACUAUAUAUUACAUGGACUGCCAACUCUACGCACUAGGCCUAUAUUCUUCAAUAAACAAGUCCCGUUCACGGAGGCGUCCUUGGUUGCGUGGUAAAUUGACUUCCGGUAGAUUUUUUUUUACUAUAUAAAGAAACCAUUCCCGAAGAUUUUUACCACCACUUUUACCGCAAAUCAUGAAUAAAAACUGAAUUGUUAAAGAAGAUGUUACAGAGGUAAGUGUGCACAAAUCAAUUUCUGACUUAGAUCUAUAACUGUAAAGCUUUAUAGCUGAUUUUCUUAGCCAAUAUAGACUAAUUAGCCAAGCCUGUAUUUCGUGUAUUUUCUUGUUUACGACAUUGAUUGAAUUGAGGUUCUUGUGAGAGCAUAGCCUAUAUAUAUAUAUAUAAACCAAAUAGUAAGACUUAUUCAGAAGGAUAACCCGGUACAUUUAGAUCUAUAUGCUCUUACUAUAAUAGGCUAAAAUGACCUUUCGUUUAUAAGUUUUAAAAAAGUCAUAUAUUAUGUGUAGGCCUAAAGUAAAGGAGCAUACUACUUCCACAAACCUGAUUUGAUUGUCACUAACUUUCAAAUUGAAAGGGAUCUACUAAAACUGCUCAUGAAUUUUGAGAUUUUACAGCAAAUAGAGGAACAAAUUUUAUCUGCUUCCACUUAGACAAACAGCAUGGAAAUGUGCUAUUGUAAUGAGUAGAAGAUAUUUGUCAUUUAGAGUAUCAUGUGUCAUUGACUUAUGAAAACAAAAUGCAACAGCAAAUUAUCAGUCAGCACAUUUCAAGAUGAGGAAAAGAACAGUAUAAGCUACAUUCAUUGAUGCAUUAUUUAUACAAAAAUGUAUAGUCAACCAAGUCAUCAAUCCAUUUUUUUAUGAAGCCAGUUAAGUUACCAUGAAAGGAUGAAAUUUCAGAUAAUAUUCUGUUUGUUUUAUGAAAUGAGAAUAGGCCUACAUCAGAAAUUGAAAUGGUCAUCUUCAGUAUUUAAUGUUUCAUCUAAAAAUGAUAAUUAUAUUAAUACAUAUUUGAUGUACAAACAAAUGAAAACCAUUCAAACACUUUUUUUUUUGUGAAGUAUAGAUGAUUAAACUUGUAAGUGUCUGAACAAUACUACAUCGACAUUAACUUAUUAUUAUAGACUUUUUACAGGAAUGUAUCUUAAGCUUGACUGAAAGAGAAAGUUGCUAUAAUUUAAAUAAUAAAAUUUAAUAGUCUGAACAUGUUACUAAAAAUUGAAUAAAGCUAACAUUUACUGACAAGUGAAUAUUGAAGUAAUGAUGUGCUUUCUAUUUUAAUAAGUCAAUAAUAUUAGUAAGAACAAUAUUAUCUUCACUUUCUUAAUAUUAUAAACACAAUAUUUCCUGAAAAGAUUUUUUUAAAUUAUAGAAAUAAUGCUCAAGUCUUCAGAAAUGGUAGUUUUCAGAAUCAUAAAAUCAAGGACAACAUAGUAUUCAUGAACUUCCAGCUAUCAGCAAGCUCCUAGUAGGUAUUAUGGAGCACAUUCUCCUUCAACUCAGAGGAUCACAGGCACUGGACAAAUUCUUGUACUGUUGAUGGAAUAGAAACAACAUACAUUAAAUUCAUAACAAGUCACCAAUUCAAUCUUAGUUUCAUAUAGUACCAAACUUCCAUAUGUUCAAGUCCUUUACGGAUAAAAUCAAUUCUGAAAACAUCUAACAAAACAGUUCCUUAAACGUAUAUUAGGAGUAUAGUAAAGUAUAUUAGAGGUUGUACAUAAAAAAUGCUAUGGGAACAUAUUAUGAAACAAAAAUAUUACAAAAAAAAAAAGGAAUAGUAUAAUAAUAACAAUAUUUAAUCUUUGACAUUAUAUUAAGUAAUAUUAUGAAAAUUUAAUGAAUCAUUAAAUGCACUUUAAAGUGAAGGGGACAGAUUUUUUAAAAAAUUCAGGAAAUUUUCUGCACAAGCAUGCUGAGGUAACCCAAAUAAAGAGAGUCAUUAAAUAUUGUACUGAGUGUUUGAAACUUAAUUUUUUAUUGCAUACAUUAAAAUAUGAACAUAUCUUUUCAAAUUUAAAGGGA